CGGCAGCACGGGAGCAAUCCUGGUGGCGAGUGGCGAACGGGUGAGUAAUACAUCGGAACGUGUCCUGUAGUGGGGGAUAGCCCGGCGAAAGCCGGAUUAAUACCGCAUACGCUCUACGGAGGAAAGGGGGGGAUCUUAGGACCUCUCGCUACAGGGGCGGCCGAUGGCAGAUUAGCUAGUUGGUGGGGUAAAGGCCUACCAAGGCGACGAUCUGUAGCUGGUCUGAGAGGACGACCAGCCACACUGGGACUGAGACACGGCCCAGACUCCUACGGGAGGCAGCAGUGGGGAAUUUUGGACAAUGGGCGCAAGCCUGAUCCAGCAAUGCCGCGUGUGUGAAGAAGGCCUUCGGGUUGUAAAGCACUUUUGUCCGGAAAGAAAACUUCCUGGUUAAUACCCGGGGAGGAUGACGGUACCGGAAGAAUAAGCACCGGCUAACUACGUGCCAGCAGCCGCGGUAAUACGUAGGGUGCAAGCGUUAAUCGGAAUUACUGGGCGUAAAGCGUGCGCAGGCGGUCCGCUAAGACAGAUGUGAAAUCCCCGGGCUUAACCUGGGAACUGCAUUUGUGACUGGCGGGCUAGAGUAUGGCAGAGGGGGGUAGAAUUCCACGUGUAGCAGUGAAACGCGUAGAGAUGUGGAGGAAUACCGAUGGCGAAGGCAGCCCCCUGGGCCAAUACUGACGCUCAUGCACGAAAGCGUG
rnacentral:rRNA from 1 species